rnacentral:rRNA from 1 species
UACGGAAGGUCCGGGCGUUAUCCGGAUUUAUUGGGUUUAAAGGGAGCGUAGGCCGCCGAUUAAGCGUGUUGUGAAAUGCCGUGGCUCAACCAUGGCACUGCAGCGCGAACUGGUUGGCUUGAGUGCGCGGAAGGCAGGCGGAAUUCGUGGUGUAGCGGUGAAAUGCUUAGAUAUCACGAAGAACCCCGAUUGCGAAGGCAGCUUGCCGCAGCGCUACUGACGCUGAAGCUCGAAGGUGCGGGUAUCGAACAGG